rnacentral:rRNA from 1 species
UACGUAGGUGGCAAGCGUUGUCCGGAUUUAUUGGGCGUAAAGCGCGCGCAGGCGGUCCUUUAAGUCUGAUGUGAAAUCUUGCGGCUCAACCGCAAGCGGUCAUUGGAAACUGGGGGACUUGAGUACAGAAGAGGAAAGCGGAAUUCCACGUGUAGCGGUGAAAUGCGUAGAGAUGUGGAGGAACACCAGUGGCGAAGGCGACUCUUUGGUCUGUAACUGACGCUGAGGCGCGAAAGCGUGGGGAGCAAACAGG